UACGGAGGGUGCAAGCGUUAUCCGGAUUUAUUGGGUUUAAAGGGUCCGUAGGCGGAUUAAUCAGUCAGUGGUGAAAUCUCAUAGCUUAACUAUGAAACUGCCAUCGAUACUGUUAGUCUUGAGUAAUGUUGAAGUUGCUGGAAUGUGUAGUGUAGCGGUGAAAUGCUUAGAUAUUACGCAGAACACCAAUUGCGAAGGCAGGUGACUAAACAUUAACUGACGUUGAUGGCGCGAAAGCCAGGGGAGCGAACGGGAUUAGAUACCCCUG
rnacentral:rRNA from 1 species